GAUGAACGCUGGCGGCGUGCCUAAUACAUGCAAGUCGAGCGCGACUGAUUACACCGUUCUUCGGAACACCGUCAUCAUCGAGCGGCGGACGGGUGAGUAACACGUGGGCAACCUACCCUUAAGACUGGGAUAACCGCGGGAAACCGUGGCUAAUACCGGAUAAUACUUUUAUACAACGGUAUAGAAGUUGAAAGGUGGAUUUCUAUCACUUAAGGAUGGGCCUGCGGCGCAUUAGCUGGUUGGUAAGGUAACGGCUUACCAAGGCGACGAUGCGUAGCCGACCUGAGAGGGUGAUCGGCCACACUGGAACUGAGACACGGUCCAGACUCCUACGGGAGGCAGCAGUAGGGAAUCUUCCGCAAUGGGCGAAAGCCUGACGGAGCAACGCCGCGUGUGCGAAGAAGGUCUUCGGAUCGUAAAGCACUGUUGUUAAGGAAGAACGACAGUAAGAGUAACUGUUUACUGUGUGACGGUACUUAACCAGAAAGCCACGGCUAACUACGUG
rnacentral:rRNA from 1 species